rnacentral:rRNA from 1 species
CGGACGGGUGAGUAAUGUCUAGGAAACUGCCUGAUGGAGGGGGAUAACUACUGGAAACGGUAGCUAAUACCGCAUAACGUCGCAAGACAAAAGAGGGGGACCUUCGGGCCUCUUGCCAUCAGAUGUGCCCAGAUGGGAUUAGCUAGUAGGUGGGGUAACGGCUCACCUAGGCGACGAUCCCUAGCUGGUCUGAGAGGAUGACCAGCCACACUGGAACUGAGACACGGUCCAG